rnacentral:snRNA from 1 species
GUGCUUGCUUCAGCAGCACAGAUACUAGGAUUGGAAUGAUACAGAAAAGAUUAGCAUGGCCCCUGCAUAAGUAUGACAUGUAAAUUCAUGAAGUGCUCCAUAUUUUA